rnacentral:rRNA from 1 species
GAUGAACGCUGGCGGCGUGCCUAAUACAUGCAAGUCGAGCGAACAGAUGAGGAGCUUGCUCCUCUGACGUUAGCGGCGGACGGGUGAGUAACACGUGGAUAACCUACCUAUAAGACUGGGAUAACUUCGGGAAACCGGCGCUAAUACCGGAUAAUAUAUUGAACCGCAUGGUUCAAUAGUGAAAGACGGUUUUGCUGUCACUUAUAGAUGGAUCCGUGCCGCAUUAGCUAGUUGGUAAGGUAACGGCUUACCAAGGCGACGAUGCGUAGCCGACCUGAGAGGGUGAUCGGCCACACUGGAGCGGGGACGCGGUCCAGACUCCUAAGGGAGGCAGCAGUAGGGAAUCUUCGGCAAUGGGCGGAAGCCUGACGGAGGAAAGCCGCGUGAGUGAUGAAGGUCUUCGGAUCGUAAAACUCUGUUAUUAGGGAAGAACAAAUGUGUAAGUAACUAUGCACGUCUUGACGGUACCUAAUCAGAAAGCCACGGCUAACUACGUG